GUUCAUAUCAUACUGUGUUUUGGAAACAGUCUUAUUAGUAACUAGAGGUGGAGGAAGACAGAGAAGGACUUGUCAAAACUAACAUGUGACAUGGGGCCCAGUGUGCAAUGGCUGCGAACAGCAGCCUCCUUGGUAGUGUAUGCAGCCUGUUGGUUGUACGGGUUGCCCUAAGGGACCUUGGAGACAGUU
rnacentral:snoRNA from 1 species